rnacentral:rRNA from 1 species
AUUGAACGCUGGCGGCAUGCCUUACACAUGCAAGUCGAACGGCAGCACGGGUGCUUGCACCUGGUGGCGAGUGGCGAACGGGUGAGUAAUACAUCGGGACAUGUCCUGUAGUGGGGGAUAGCCCGUCGAAAGCCGGAUUAAUACCGCAUACGAUCUACGGAUGAAAGCGGGGGACCUUCGGGCCUCGCGCUUUAGGGUUGGCCGAUGGCUGAUUAGCUAGUUGGUGGGGUAAAGGCCUACCAAGGCGACGAUCAGUAGCUGGUCUGAGAGGACGACCAGCCACACUGGGACUGAGACACGGCCCAGACUCCUACGGGAGGCAGCAGUGGGGAAUUUUGGACAAUGGGCGAAAGCCUGAUGCAGCAAUGCCGCGUGUGUGAAGAAGGCCUUCGGGUUGUAAAGCACUUUUGUCCGGAAAGAAAUCCUUGGCCCUAAUACGGGCGGGGGAUGACGGUACCGGAAGAAUAAGCACCGGCUAACUACGUG